UUCUGAAUAAUCAAUUUCCCACAAAUAUAUUUUAGAAUCUUGUCUCUCAAACAUAUAUACACCUUUUAUCGAAUAGUAAAGUACUUUUGACUCACUAUUCAUGACACUUGUGUAAGGUUUUUCAUUGCCUAGCUGAUUUACUUUUCACAAUAAGUUCAAAAACUAAAGCAUAAUACGAGUAUACAUCUAUAUAAACAAAGCGAACUUAGUAUAUGUGUCUGGCGUAAAGUCAUUAUAAGAUAUAGUAGCUCAAAGCAAAGAGAGUCAUAUAUUACAAGGGAAGAGUUGCACAAUGUUCAUAUGUUUAAUACAUCUUAUUUAAAAGGAUUCUAACCUGUGUAAGAACAGCAGAGAGCUUGCCUAUUGUCUCUAAAUCGACUCAAAAUCUCCAUAGCUGAGGAAAAAGAGUAAAGAAUCACUGCUGAGUCUAUUUCGAAUGGACUCAUUGACUAGUGGUACUUUAAUGAAUCAUAGUCUUGGCCUUGGUUGAAGAAAAUGGAAAAAAACUCAAUGGAUAGAAGGAAAUGAAUAUUUAUUGAUGAAUCAUAGCUCUUGUCCGAAGAUGGUGUAUAGCCUCUUAUUUCUCUACCGUAUCUACUCUUGCUAUCCACGAGAUUAAAUAGCUCACCAAGUGGCAUCUCUUUUCUUGGAUUCAUCUCAUUUAGCCUUAGCCAUAUGCCAUUGGACUCCGGCUCGACUUCCCUCUGAAGCUGGAAAUCACCAAAGAAUCUUAUCGGGAGAACCUACAUAAGUCUAAUUCUAUCCGAGAUGGUCGGUAAAAUCAUUAUGCUGGAUUAUCUCUUAAUUAGUAAUCAGUGAUCUCCUUUUAAUAUUUCUAACAUUUAAUCACACUCCAGAAGCCUUUUCCCCCCUCUUGGAACUCUGUCUCUCUCGGUCAUGCUUAGGGUUGUUGUAAUCGUUGAAAAAGGACGAAUUUGAUUAGUUGUGAGAGAUUAUAUAAAAAAAGGAAAAACACACGUUGGUACCCUUGCAUCUUCUAAAUAACUUUUCCUCAGUAUUGUACUAAUCUUCAGCAAAGCAACUUCCCCUUACUGCUCUCUCACGUACAUCAUCAUUAUGCCGAAGAAAACGUGCCUUUUUUCAUGGGUUUCUAACAACGGAGGUAAUGAUGUGUGGAAUUAUUAUUUGGAAAAUAAAAGUAUAUUUUACCGUUUUUGCGGUUUUUCGUGCCCAUCUCGUUCUUUAUGGCAAGUAAUCCGCCAUUCCAAAUAAUCCCAUCACAUCAACAACUUAAAAGUCUUCAAGAAACACAAGAUUCAAGGAGACGAAGGAGAAUCAAACGGUUCAUCAUUCAAUUUGGACGUAGCAAAGUUAUUUGUGUCGUGUAACAUCCCUUUAAAUGUUCUGGAUCCUCCUAAUUUCUCAAAGUUUAUUGAAAAAUAUUCUGGAAAAACUUUUCCAGGCCGAUGAGUCGUUAACAACUUGGCUGGUGAAGUAUGUCAGGGAGUUUUUCAUAGAUUAAAAGAAGAGGUGGAAGUAAAAGAUAUUUUCGUUGCACUAGAUGAGGUAAGAGAUCAUCAAGGGAGGUCAAUGACGGUAAUUUUGAUUGUUCCUUUCGACAUACAUUUCUGUUGAAGACCUUAUCUAAUUGACUUGAUUGAUAUUAAGAUUGCAAACAAUAUAAAGAACAUCGUCAUCAGCUCAGUUUAUAAGUUAUUAUUCAUGGAUUACAUGGAGUUGGUGAUAUGGUUCGACAAAAAUUUCCUCUAACUAACGAACUUAUUUCCAAUGUGAAGAAGAUCUUUUUGAACUCUGGAAGAAGAAAGAGAGUAUUUACUGCUUCAUAAGAAAUUCCCCUCCCUGCAUCACCAAUUAUAACAAGAUAGGGAACUUGGUUAAAGCAAUGGAGUACUACUACCAUCACUUCGACGUCUUCAGAGAAUAUUUAAACAACAUUAAUGAAGAUUUAGCAGCAACCAGAAGAGCACAAGAAGUAAUUAAUGAUGAUUCCUUAAGAAAAGAAGUCGUAUUUUUAUAGGAAAAUUCUCGUCAAGUACAUUUGGAAAUAACUGCGCUUGAGGAAAGAUUGUCUCUUCUUACCAGACUAAGAAUAGUUGAAAAUCUGACUCAAGAUUUGAAGGAAGAUCCAUUCAAGACCAAGUUAAAAGAAGUGCUUCAAAAGAAUCCUGGCUAGACAAAACUAAAGGAACUCUCAACAAGUGAAAACCUUUUAUACGCAAAUACUCCAAUUGCCUAUUGUGAUGCUGAGAGAGUCUUUAGUAUGAUGAAUAUCAUCUAUACGAAAAGGAGGUUGAAACUAAGUACUAAGAAAUUGAAGGAAUUGUUGAUUACCAAAUGGAAUGACUGUUUUGUUAUCAUUUAAUUGUCAACACAUUUUGUGACAAUGUUGCCUAUUCAUCCUUUAUGGUCAGUGUUCACUAAGAAGUUCUAAGUACACUUCCUGUGAUGAUGGAUUUGAUUUUCUCUAAUUAACUGACAAUAUAUUUUGCAUUUCAUAAAUUUACCGAAUAUAAUAUACAUUUAU
rnacentral:lncRNA from 1 species